UGCAGUCGACGAUGAAGCCCAGCUUGCUGGGUGGAUUAGUGGCGAACGGGUGAGUAACACGUGAGUAACCUGCCCCUGACUCUGGGAUAAGCGUUGGAAACGACGUCUAAUACUGGAUAUGACCGCCGAUCGCAUGGUCUGGUGGUGGAAAGAUUUUUUGGUUGGGGAUGGACUCGCGGCCUAUCAGCUUGUUGGUGAGGUAAUGGCUCACCAAGGCGACGACGGGUAGCCGGCCUGAGAGGGUGACCGGCCACACUGGGACUGAGACACGGCCCAGACUCCUACGGGAGGCAGCAGUGGGGAAUAUUGCACAAUGGGCGAAAGCCUGAUGCAGCAACGCCGCGUGAGGGAUGACGGCCUUCGGGUUGUAAACCUCUUUUAGUAGGGAAGAAGCGUAAGUGACGGUACCUGCAGAAAAAGCACCGGCUAACUACGUGCCAGCAGCCGCGGUAAUACGUAGGGUGCAAGCGUUGUCCGGAAUUAUUGGGCGUAAAGAGCUCGUAGGCGGUUUGUCGCGUCUGCUGUGAAAUCCCGAGGCUCAACCUCGGGCUUGCAGUGGGUACGGGCAGACUAGAGUGCGGUAGGGGAGAUUGGAAUUCCUGGUGUAGCGGUGGAAUGCGCAGAUAUCAGGAGGAACACCGAUGGCGAAGGCAGAUCUCUGGGCCGUAACUGACGCUGAGGAGCGAAAGCGUGGGGAGCGAACAGGAUUAGAUACCCUGGUAGUCCACGCCGUAAACGUUGGGCGCUAGAUGUAGGGACCUUUCCACGGUUUCUGUGUCGUAGCUAACGCAUUAAGCGCCCCGCCUGGGGAGUACGGCCGCAAGGCUAAAACUCAAAGGAAUUGACGGGGGCCCGCACAAGCGGCGGAGCAUGCGGAUUAAUUCGAUGCAACGCGAAGAACCUUACCAAGGCUUGACAUACACCGGAAACGGCCAGAGAUGGUUGCCCCCUUGUGGUCGGUGUACAGGUGGUGCAUGGUUGUCGUCAGCUCGUGUCGUGAGAUGUUGGGUUAAGUCCCGCAACGAGCGCAACCCUCGUUCUAUGUUGCCAGCGCGUUAUGGCGGGGACUCAUAGGAGACUGCCGGGGUCAACUCGGAGGAAGGUGGGGAUGACGUCAAAUCAUCAUGCCCCUUAUGUCUUGGGCUUCACGCAUGCUACAAUGGCCGGUACAAAGGGCUGCGAUACCGUAAGGUGGAGCGAAUCCCAAAAAGCCGGUCUCAGUUCGGAUUGAGGUCUGCAACUCGACCUCAUGAAGUCGGAGUCGCUAGUAAUCGCAGAUCA
rnacentral:rRNA from 1 species